rnacentral:lncRNA from 1 species
GCAAUUUCUAUAUUGGAAGAAUAUGGACUAACUAUACAAAGGAUGAAAUUCCUUAAGAGAAGAGGGUGGGUGGAGGAACAAAAAACCAUGCACAGCACUGAAGAGCUUAUUUGGUCAUCUGCUUUGUCACUUUCAGAUAAUGGAAUCAGAGGAUAAGCAUUGUGAUGCAUCAUAUAGAAUCUCCUUUCAAAUAAAGUUAUGAAAAUGGGGAUGGCAUUCCAUUUCCUGAAAUGCAUCAGUGCAAAGAAAAUACUUAUUAAGUGCCGACAGACAGUGUGCAAAGGAACUGGAGUUGCAGAAAUAACCAAGCUCUGAAAAAGCAGCAUACUACAUAGGAAACAGUGCAACGAGGAGAGACAUAUUGAUGCUUGCAGACUUGGCAUUUUCACAAACACAAAACUGGCUUUGCCUGACAGGAUGUUUUAGGAAAACUUACCUAAGGAUUCGUCCAUGUAGUUUUCAGCAAGAACAAAAUUUUCACUUGCGCUCACCAAGGGCUUAAGUGUCUUCCCCCAGGGUGUGCUGAGGUUGAGAGAUCAACGGAGCUAUUUUCAAUUAGGACAGAAAGCACAAUUUGUUUGGCUCAACCAAAAUUGCCAGAGUGUUAUCACAAGGUGAACUCAAAGUAACUAUUAUCUGGACACCAAUUUAGCAUAUUGCUGUGCCUUUUUUUUUUUUAACUGUAUGCUGCUCUAACAAAAAGGCUUGUCUAAAGGCAUUAAAGGAUAUGAAACAAUAUUUGGUUCUGAAUUGAUAUAUCUCCCAUCAGGAGACCAAGUAAUAUCCAGAAUUAUUAAAUUAGAUAAAAACAUGCAUGAGGUUAAG